GGCUAAAACAGCAACAGUUUUUAGUCCAAAGUUCACUUUGCACUUCUUACAGUAUGUUUUUUUACAGUGUAUUUUGUAAAACGAAUAUUCGAGCUCUAGAAUAUAAACAAUGUAAACUGCAUUAUAGUUGAAUCUAAUUUCUAAUCUUAUUUACAAAUUUAAUUUUUCAACAAAUAAGUAACAAUUAUACCUGCUCAAAUUAGAGACAUCGCGAACAUUUUAUUGAGAUUGACUGACGAUGAAAAUAUGGCAAUGUAUCAAAGGUAUGGACGAGAGAGGUAGUUUACGAGAUGGUUCCAAAAUUGAAAUAAGAGUUUGCGUUAGUAUUAGGGUUAGUGUGGGGGUUAGGUAGGUGUGGGGUAAGGAUAAGUAUAGGUUAUAUUUUGAGGCAACGAG